UGAAAUCUUUGAGGGUCUGUGGUAGACGAAGGUUUCCGCGAGUCUGUCCCACCCCACCGUUUCCAGAUGUGGUUAUCAGGCUGCCGAGCGUCCUUUAAUUAAUUACCCUGAUACGCAACAGGUGUCAGGUAACUAAGAAAGAAGUGGGAGGAAAGGAGCAAAAUGGACCAGAUGAGGAGGCAGUUAAACAUGGGGUCACAGACUGCACCAUCAGACUGAAAGGAAACAAAACGAAGCAGCCAAGUACAUAGCUGUUGUUUUAUCAAGUUCAUUGUGUCGUCUGGAUCACUCCAGAACUCCAAAAUAUACUACAUCACAGAAAGCAUGGGAAAGUUCACCAAAACUAACACGGGUGUCUCCAUUAUCUGUUGUGUCCAUGACAGCAGUGAAAUUCAUCAUGAGAAGUGCAUCGCACCAGGACAAGGACAAGAUAAUGUUCUCUGGUUUUACUGACAGACUGAACACAUUUAAACAUUUUAGAAAAACCAAAUAUAGCUCAGAGGCUGUUAUCUGUUAAACAUAUUAAUUACAAACUUGACAAAAAAUUGCCAAGACCAGAAAAAUGUUGUCUACUUUAUUAAGAUUGCUGACAGCACAGUAGCCUAAUCCUAUGGUUGUUGAAUUUUGACAAAACAGAUUACUUCAGAAAUAAAUUUGCUCAACAUGAAACAAGACCUCAAAACCAAACAGAUUUUUAUGCUUUUUUUCAUCUGUCUUUUUGUAACAGAUGAAAGCAAAGUAAUGUCAAAGGAAACUUUGAAGCUUGUUUGAAGAGCGGGUCUGACAGGCAUGAAGAGAUUCAGAAACACUUAAAUGGAGACCACAGGCAUAUAUUAUUCACAUGAGUGCAUCUUUCAGACAAAACUAGUGAAAAUAAACAACAUCAUGGUUUUCUUGGUUUCCAAUAAGUGUCUUAUACUGUUUUCUACCAUCUCUUCUAUGUCAUUGUCUUCUGGGUCUGAAAUAAUAGCUUCCAAAUAGUGAAGUCACGUUACAAUUGGACAACUCAGAUAUACAAGCUGAGCAAAAGUAAAAAUUAAAACAGAGCAUGGACUUAUUUAUGAUGGUGACAAAUCUUAUUUGUUAUUGGUGCAGUUAGAAUAAUAAUAUUAUUGUUGGUCAUUAUAUGUCUGUUUUAUAAACCUUGAGUAUUAGACGAGGGUUUCAGGGAUACAAUUAGCCUUAAUGUUAUUAUAUUAUUAUUGUUUUCAACUGCUGAUAUAAAUAAGUAAGUGUGCUGGUGGUCUAUGUAAGUCUAUGCAGUGAUCCAGAACUGACACCAGAGAAUCUAGAGUGUAUUGUAGUGAAGGACUUUGUGUAUGUUCUUUUCAUUUCUAUACUGAAACAUUUGAACUUAACAAUCUGGUGAAAUAACAUGUAAAAACAAAACUGAAAAAAA